GACGAACGCUGGCGGCGUGCUUAACACAUGCAAGUCGAACGAAGAGCGAUGGAAGCUUGCUUCUCUCAAUCUUAGUGGCGAACGGGUGAGUAACGCGUAAUCAACCUGCCCUUCAGAGGGGGACAACAGUUGGAAACGACUGCUAAUACCGCAUACGAUCUAAUCUCGGCAUCGAGGAUAGAUGAAAGGUGGCCUCUACAUGUAAGCUAUCACUGAAGGAGGGGAUUGCGUCUGAUUAGCUAGUUGGAGGGGUAACGGCCCACCAAGGCGAUGAUCAGUAGCCGGUCUGAGAGGAUGAACGGCCACAUUGGGACUGAGACACGGCCCAGACUCCUACGGGAGGCAGCAGUGGGGAAUCUUCCGCAAUGGACGAAAGUCUGACGGAGCAACGCCGCGUGAGUGAUGACGGCCUUCGGGUUGUAAAGCUCUGUUAAUCGGGACGAAAGGCCUUCUUGCGAACAGUUAGAAGGAUUGACGGUACCGGAAUAGAAAGCCACGGCUAACUACGUG
rnacentral:rRNA from 1 species